rnacentral:tRNA from 6 species
GCGAUUGUGGUGAAGCGGUCUAACACAGCGGGUUGUGGUCCCGUCAUUCGAGGGUUCGAAUCCCUUCAUUCGCCCCA